UACGGGAGGCAGCAGUGGGGAAUAUUGCACAAUGGGCGCAAGCCUGAUGCAGCCAUGCCGCGUGUAUGAAGAAGGCCUUCGGGUUGUAAAGUACUUUCAGUCGUGAGGAAGGUGUUAAGGUUAAUAACCUUAGCAAUUGACGUUAGCGACAGAAGAAGCACCGGCUAACUCCGUGCCAGCAGCCGCGGUAAUACGGAGGGUGCGAGCGUUAAUCGGAAUUACUGGGCGUAAAGGGCACGCAGGCGGUUAAUUAAGUUGGAUGUGAAAUCCCCGGGCUUAACCUGGGAAUGGCAUUCAAGACUGGUUAGCUAGAGUCUUGUAGGAGGGGGUAGAAUUCCAUGUGUAGCGGUGAAAUGCGUAGAGAUGUGGAGGAAUACCGGUGGCGAAGGCGGCCCCUGGACAAAGACUGACGCUCAUGUGCGAAAGCGUGGGGAGCAAACGAGGGAUUAGAUACC
rnacentral:rRNA from 1 species